rnacentral:rRNA from 1 species
GACGAACGCUGGCGGCGUGCUUAACACAUGCAAGUCGAACGAUGAUCAGGAGCUUGCUCCUGUGAUUAGUGGCGAACGGGUGAGUAACACGUGAGUAACCUGCCCCUGACUCUGGGAUAAGCGUUGGAAACGACGUCUAAUACUGGAUACGACUGCCGGCCGCAUGGUCUGGUGGUGGAAAGAUUUUUUGGUUGGGGAUGGACUCGCGGCCUAUCAGCUUGUUGGUGAGGUAAUGGCUCACCAAGGCGACGACGGGUAGCCGGCCUGAGAGGGUGACCGGCCACACUGGGACUGAGACGCGGCCCAGACUCCUACGGGAGGCAGCAGUGGGGAAUAUUGCACAAUGGGCGCAAGCCUGAUGCAGCAACGCCGCGUGAGGGAUGACGGCCUUCGGGUUGUAAACCUCUUUUAGUAGGGAAGAAGCGAAAGUGACGGUACCUGCAGAAAAAGCACCGGCUAACUACGUGCCAGCCGCCGCCGUAA